rnacentral:rRNA from 1 species
UACGAGGGGUGCGAGCGUUGUUCGGAAUUAUUGGGCGUAAAGGGUGCGUAGGCGGUUCGGUAAGUUUCGUGUGAAAUCUUCGGGCUCAACUCGAAGCCUGCAGGAGAUACUGCCGGGCUUGAGUGUGGGAGAGGUGAGUGGAAUUUCCGGUGUAGCGGUGAAAUGCGUAGAGAUCGGGAGGAACAUCAGUGGCGAAGGCGGCCAUCUGGGACAACACUGACGCUGAAGCACGAAAGCGUGGGGAGCAAACAGG